GUCCUUUCUAAUAAUUUAUUUCAGGUCAAAUCUACAUAUUUCUUUUCUCAUCACAUCAGCUCUAUAAAACAGUUCUUAUUGUUCAUUUAUGUCCAUUUUUAAAAUCACAGCAUCCACAAUUGUAUGGCGGACUAAUAUUGUUUUUUAAUUACGUCAUCUGAGUUCCUCAUCUCAAGGUCUAUUAGGGAUCCUGACCCAUAUUAGAUCAGCAAAUGUCAGAUUCCACUUGUAUUGCAGUAUGAAUUCCUUCGGUACACCUUUUCGAACAAUUCUGUGAAGUUUUUUUCCGC
rnacentral:lncRNA from 1 species